rnacentral:tRNA from 1 species
AGCAGAGUAGAGCAGUUUGAUAGCUCACGAGGCUCAUAACCUUGAGGUCACGGGUUCGAUUCCCGUCUCCGCAC